rnacentral:lncRNA from 1 species
UUGGAGCUAUAGAACCAAAGGCGUCAAAUGAGCAUCAUUUCAUACUAGUCGCAAUCUAUUAUUUCCCCAGUGGAGUCACCAUCUAUCGCAACCAGAACGACGGGACGAUGAUCCAAAAAUGAUGGGUUUUUUGAAAAAGAGAUUUGGAGUCGCCACCAUGGUUUAUUCUGGAAAACUAGGAAAAAACCAUAAAAUGAUAAGGCAAGGUCUACGUAAAACAGAUUCCAGG